rnacentral:rRNA from 1 species
AUUGAACGCUGGCGGCGUGCCUUACACAUGCAAGUCGAACGGCAGCACGGGUGCUUGCACCUGGUGGCGAGUGGCGAACGGGUGAGUAAUAUAUCGGAACGUACCUUAUUGUGGGGGAUAACGCAGCGAAAGCUGUGCUAAUACCGCAUAAUCCCUAAGGGGGAAAGCGGGGGACCGUAAGGCCUCGCGCAAUUGGAGCGGCCGAUACCUGAUUAGCUAGUUGGUGAGGUAAAGGCUCACCAAGGCAACGAUCAGUAGCUGGUCUGAGAGGACGAUCAGCCACACGGGGACUGGAACACGGCCCAGACUCCUACGGGAGGCAGCAGUGGGGAAUUUUGGACAAGGGGGGCAACCCUGAUCCAACAAUGCCGCGUGAGUGAAGAAGGCCUUCGGGUUGUAAAGCUCCUUUGUCAGGGAAGAAACAGCAGCUCUAACACAGUAUGCGAAUGACGGUACCUGAAGAAUAAGCACCGGCUAACUACGUGCCAGCAGCCGCCGUAA